CCUACGGGAGGCAGCAGUGGGGAAUAUUGCACAAUGGGGGAAACCCUGAUGCAGCGACGCCGCGUGGAGGAUGAAGGUUUUCGGAUUGUAAACUCCUUUUGUUAGAGAAGAGAAUGACGGUAUCUAACGAAUAAGCACCGGCUAACUCCGUGCCAGCAGCCGCGGUAAUACGGAGGGUACAAGCGUUACUCGGAAUCACUGGGCGUAAAGAGCGCGUAGGCGGGAUAGCAAGUCAGAUGUGAAAUCCUAUGGCUUAACCAUAGAACUGCCUUUGAAACUGUUAUUCUAGAGUAUGGGAGAGGUAGGUGGAAUUCUUGGUGUAGUGGUCAAAUCCGUAGAGAUCAAGAGGAAUACUCAUUGCGAAGGCGACCUGCUAGAACAUAACUGACGCUGAUGCGCGAAAGCGUGGGUAGCAAACAGGAUUAGAUACCCGAGUAGUC
rnacentral:rRNA from 1 species